GUGGCGAGCGAAACUGGAUGAGGCCAAACCGUAGGCGUGUGAUACCCGGCAGGGGUUGCGCUUUCGGGGUUGUGGGAGUGUGCUGGAUCGGUCUGCCGGCCGGUCGGAGAGUCAGAAACCGUUGGUGUAGUCGAAGGACAUGCGAAAGGUCCGGCGUAGAGGGUAAGACCCCCGUAGACGAAACAUCAGCGGCUCUCUUGCAUGUUUUCCCAAGUAGCACGGGGCCCGAGAAAUCCUGUGUGAAUCUGGCGGGACCACCCGCUAAGCCUA
rnacentral:rRNA from 1 species